AAUUGUAUCAUCAACUGUUCAU
rnacentral:snRNA from 1 species